rnacentral:misc_RNA from 1 species
CCCUUGUGGAGGAGGACGCCGAAGGUGGGGCUAAUGACUGGGGUGAAGUCGUAACAAGGUAGCCGUACCGGAAGGUGCGGCUGGAUCACCUCCUAACAGGGAGACAACAAAAUGUUUAAUAUUAUUAUUUUGUCACCUUAGGUCGAUCGGUAUCUCACGUUCUUAAUUUAUUAAGAAUUUCAUUUCCUAAGUUUUUCUAGGUCACACCCAUUAUUUUCCUGGGCCAUUAGCUCAGGUGGUUAGAGCGCACCCCUGAUAAGGGUGAGGUCCCUGGUUCAAGUCCAGGAUGGCCCAUAUCUCUAUGUUGGGGGUAUAGCUCAGUUGGUAGAGCGCCUGCUUUGCAAGCAGGAUGUCAGCGGUUCGAGUCCGCUUACCUCCACUGAUUACCACCUCUUCCAUAAUUUGUAGAAAGGAAAAAUUUUUGUGUUGUGAUCAUUAUUCUGAACGAAUCUAGCUUCCUAAUGAAAUCAUUAAGAUGCUGGACUCAUUGAAUUAAUUUCAUUGUUUUCAGAGAACCUUGACAACUGCAUAGAUUAUUUUUAAAGACAAUAAGCAUUUUUAAUAAUGCAGAUUUAUUAUUUGUGCAAAUGCAUUAAUAACAAUUCUAUUAAGCUGAUGCUUCAAUUAUGAAGUUAUUGGUCAAGCUACAAAGGGCUCACGGAGGAUACCUA